AUUGAACGCUGGCGGCAGGCCUAACACAUGCAAGUCGAGCGGAGCGGCGGACGGGCGAGUAAUGCAUAGGAAUCUGCCUGGUAGCGGGGGAUAACGUCCGGAAACGGGCGCUAAUACCGCAUACUAUCAGAUGAGCCUAGGUCGGAUAAGCUAGUUGGUGGGGUAAAGGCCUACAAAGGCGACGAUCCGUAACUGGUCUGAGAGGAUGAUCAGUCACACGGGAACUGAGACACGGUCCAGACUCCUACGGUAGGCAGCGGUGGGGAAUAUUGGACAAUGGGCGAAAGCCUGAUCCGGCCAUGCCGCGUGUGUGAGGAAGGUCUUCGGAUUGUAAAGCACUUUAAGUUGGGAGGCGUUACCAACAGAAUAAGCACCGGCUAACUUCGUGCCAGCAGCCGCGGUAAUUC
rnacentral:rRNA from 1 species